rnacentral:rRNA from 1 species
GACGAACGCUGGCGGCGUGCUUAACACAUGCAAGUCGAACGGAAAGGCCCUGCUUUUGUGGGGUGCUCGAGUGGCGAACGGGUGAGUAACACGUGAGUAACCUGCCCUUGACUUUGGGAUAACUUCAGGAAACUGGGGCUAAUACCGGAUAGGAGCUCCUGCUGCAUGGUGGGGGUUGGAAAGUUUCGGCGGUUGGGGAUGGACUCGCGGCUUAUCAGCUUGUUGGUGGGGUAGUGGCUUACCAAGGCUUUGACGGGUAGCCGGCCUGGGAGGGUGAACGGCGACAAUAGGACUGAGGGACGGCCCAGACUCCAACGGGAGACAGCGGUGGGGAGUAUGACACAGUGAGCGGGAGCCUGAGACGGCAGCGCCGCGUGCGGGAUGACGGCCUUCGGGGUGUAAACCGCUUUCGCCUGUGACGAAGCGUGAGUGACGGUAAUGGAUAAAGAAGCACCGGCUAACUACGUG